rnacentral:rRNA from 1 species
UACGUAGGGGGGCAAGCGUUGUCCGGAUUUACUGGGCGUAAAGAGCGUGUAGGCGGCCACGCAGGUCCGUUGUGAAAACUGGAGGCUCAACCUCCAGACGUCGACGGAAACCGUAUGGCUAGAGUCCGGAAGAGGAGAGUGGAAUUCCUGGUGUAGCGGUGAAAUGCGCAGAUAUCAGGAAGAACACCAAUGGCGAAAGCAGCUCUCUGGGGACGGUACUGACGGCUGAGACGCGAAAAGCGUGGGGAGCAAAACAGGG